ACCAGUUUCCGUCUGGAACCUUCCUGCUCUCUCCUGAGAUGUUUUUAUUUUGGGAAAUACGAGCCUGCAUCACCCGUUUUCCCCAAGACGCGACCCUACUCAUUUUCAGGUAAUUGCAGAUUCACACGCCACUGUGAGAAAUGAUCUAGAGAGAGCAUCCUUUUCUACUUUGCUCCCCAUUUCUGCCAACAGAAACACUUUGCAUGCUACAGUAAAACAUCACAACCUGGAUACUGACA